AGGGCACUCCUGCCUAGUACGGCGAGUGAGCGGCAACAGCUCAAAUUUGAAAUCUGGCUCUCGGGCCCGAGUUGUAAUUUGUAGAGGAUGCUUUUGAUGCGGUGCCUUCCGAGUUCCCUGGAACGGGACGCCAUAGAGGGUGAGAGCCCCGUCUGGUUGGAUGCCAAAUCUCUGUAAAGCUCCUUCGACGAGUCGAGUAGUUUGGGAAUGCUGCUCUAAAUGGGAGGUAUAUGUCUUCUAAAGCUAAAUACCGGCCAGAGACCGAUAGCGCACAAGUAGAGUGAUCGAAAGAUGAAAAGCACUUUGAAAAGAGAGUUAAAAAGUACGUGAAAUUGUUGAAAGGGAAGCGUUUAUGACCAGACUUGGGCUUGGUUAAUCAUCUGGGGUUCUCCCCAGUGCACUUUUCCAGUCCAGGCCAGCAUCAGUUUUCGCCGGGGGAUAAAGGCUUCGGGAAUGUGGCUCUCUCCGGGGAGUGUUAUAGCCCGUUGCGUAAUACCCUGGCGGGGACUGAGGUUCGCGCAUCUGCAAGGAUGCUGGCGUAAUGGUCAUCAACGACCCGUUUGA
rnacentral:rRNA from 1 species